rnacentral:rRNA from 1 species
UACGAGGGGUGCGAGCGUUGCUCGGAAUUAUUGGGCGUAAAGAGCGUGUAGGCGGUCAGGUAGGUCCGUUGUGAAAACUCGAGGCUCAACCUCGAGACGCCGAUGGAAACCAUCUGACUAGAGUCCGGAAGAGGAGAGUGGAAUUCCUGGUGUAGCGGUGAAAUGCGCAGAUAUCAGGAAGAACACCCGUGGCUAAGGCGGCUCUCUAGUACGGUACUGACGCUGAGACGCGAAAGCGUGGGGAGCGAACAGG